GGAAACACAGCCUCUUGCUCCGGGCUCUCGCUUGAGCUGAUUGACUCGCGCAGCAGCUGUAUUAUAUACCACUGUAAUAGGCUUUAGAUUUUGAUUUUCAGCACGUCUAUCUCUCUCUCUCUUGAUCAUCAUGCAGCAAGACCCUCCCCGGUCUCUCCAAGACAACUCAAUCCUAUGCAAACCUGAACCUCUAGCCCCAGCCUCCAACAUAAACCAAGGACAGUCCCCGAACUCCGGAGGUGACACAGUAAACUCAGUACAUCCGGUUAUCCCGGACCUGACAUCACAAGAUCCGGACAUGACACCAGCUGCUUCCAUCUCAACUCCUAUGAUGCUCAACUCACCUCCCAAAUCUAUAUCAUUCAGCUCCUCGAUUCCUCCCAUGACGUUGUACGAUGCGGACUCUCUUUCAACGAACGGAAUUUUACAGACAAGUGCGAGUCCAGGGAGUAUGAUAAUAUCACCGCCAAUGGUCUCCUCUAUUCCCUCAUCCACCAUCUUUUCUCCGCUCCCCAUCUCAUAUCCCCCCGUUACGCUAGGUUUACCAGUGGGCUCACAUUCAGGAGGUCCUCUUCUCAGUACAACUCCAAUCUCAACCCUUCCUUCAUCCUUACCUAAUUCAGCUGUAAAGUUUGAGCAGACAUCGUUUCAAUGUGGUGACGUAACAGGUGCAGUUGUUCCCAGAUGCGCGGGUUGCGAUCAACCAAUCACUGACAGGUUUAUCCUAAAAGUAAUGGAAAAGAACUGGCACAGCGCGUGUCUAAAGUGUCACGACUGUCUCGCCCAGCUGACAGACAAGUGUUUCAGUCGAGGCGACUUUGUAUACUGCAAGGACGACUUUUACAAGAGAUACGGAACUAAGUGUGCUAAGUGCGAGAAAGUAAUCCCUCCCAGUCAGGUGGUCCGAAGAGCAGGUGGACAUGUAUUCCACAUGGAUUGUUUCGUUUGUAUAAUCUGUUCGCGGACUCUGAACACUGGCGACGAGUUUUACUUUGUGGAUGACAACCAGUUAGUGUGCCGGUCUGACUAUGAUAACUUUAAAACCCAAUACGCCAAUUGUCCAGAUGAAACGUUCACUGAUGAGCUGGAUCUGGAGAACCAGGGUAUCAAGAGACCCCGAACCACCAUCACCGCUAAACAGCUAGAGACACUGAAGACAGCCUACGAAAACAGUCCGAAACCAGCACGUCACGUGAGAGAACAGCUGAGUUCGGAGACGGGGCUGGACAUGAGGGUGGUACAAGUGUGGUUCCAAAACAGGAGAGCAAAAGAGAAACGAAUGAAGAAGGAAGCGCCCAGGAACCGUUGGGGUCAAUACCUGAAGAACCUACGAAAGAACCGACCACAAGCGCGGCCUGUCCGAGCGGGUCCAGGUACCCCACUUUCAGGAGAUGUUAAGUUAGAGCAGCCAGAGUUUCCUUCGCCCAACUCCUGCUUCCCAGGACCUCCCGGAAAUGAUACAAUGAUGGACAGGAACCAGAUAGCUCCACCCUACCCUGGUUGCCCCAGCCCGAACAGCAUGAUCCGUCUCGGACUUCACACUGGAGACUUCAUGAGAACUUCCGUCUCUAAUCACGCGUUUGUCAACGGCCACAUCAGACCUCCCUUCAUGGGCCCGGCCCAGCCUGCACCCCUCUUCUCCAGCCACUUUCCCGGACACGACGUAGGUAACCUGGGUACCAAUACAGCAGCGUUAGGGACCGCUAUGAGAAUAGCUGCAGGAGAGGAACCCUACACAGAGUUUCCUUCGGCCUGGUUAGGACCAGAAGACAUCGACCAGCGAAUACCUCUCCCUUACUCGGACCAAAAACCUCCCUUUCCUGCAAUGAUCUGAAGGUCUGAUGUCCCCUAGGGAUACCACUGCAAGUGUAUCUUAAUGAAGAUUAACAGGAUUUCAAGAUUCCAGUAUAGUUAACUGUGUCUAUUUGAGACGUGGAGGUAGAAUUGUCCGUCAAAUAAUUCCCCAAAUCUGUUAGAAAGUGAAGAUCUCCACGAAGAUCACGGUCGGCUGACAGAGGCACAUAUUAGGUGCGGUAAAAAAAUCGAAAUUAUGCGGUACCGCACCCGACUAUAAAGGUAAAAUGUGCGGUAAGGUGCGGUAAAUUUUUACCAAUUAUGCGGCAAAUGUGCGACGAUUUUUUCGAAAUUUGUGCGGGAAUUGUGCGGUUUUCAUUUGUAUUUUCUGAAGGACUUUGGAAAUUCUGAACGUAUAACCGCCGCUCUUAUCAAAAAUAGGUCUGUUUAUGUGUUACUGAGGGUGUAGUUCUUUACUAAGUCCAUGAUUGAACCUAUAUUGAGAUCCAGUUAUCUGAGAACAGUGACUUGAUCUGGUAGAGAUCAGGAGACAGUUAUUUGAAGACGCCUCUUGAUAGAGUCGAUCAGAUCCCAAGCGUGAUCGCAAAUAUGUGACACGCUUGUUGGCAUUGAUCGUCAGUACUUGUAAACCAUUUGAUCCAAGAUCCAUUAAGCCCACUAUAAAGCCAACGCUACAACGAAUAGAGCUCAUUACCCGAUAUAAAGGGCUGCAGGUAUGAUCGAAGUACGGUAACGACGAGGGUUCCAUAACGGCCUGGGUCACGGUCCCGAAAGGGCCUGGGUAACGGUCCCGAAAGGGCCUGGGUCAUGGACCGUCAUGGUCCCGAAAGGGCCUGGGUCACGUGGUAACCGGGUCACGUGGCCUAGGCAUGGGUUCCAAAAGGGCCUGGGCAUGGGUCCCGAAAAGGCCUGGGUCACGUGGUAACUGGGUCACGUGGCCUAGGUAUGAGUUCCAAAAGGGCCUGGGUCACGGUCCCGAAAGGGCCUGGGUCAGGGUCCCGAAAGGGCCUGGGUCAGGGUCCCGAAAGGGCCUGGGUCACGUGGCCUAGGUAUGAGUUCCAAAAGGGCCUGGGUCACGGUCCUAAAAGGGCCUGAGUCACGGUCCUAAAAGGGCCCGACUUUUAACAUAUUUUGGUUUUUACACUCGAAAAUCUUAACGCGAAAAUUUCAAAAUUAUGCGAAAUUAAGCGGAAAAUGCUAGAUUAUGCGGAAAUAUGCAGAAAAUUACAAAAUGUGCGGAAAACAAUGAAUUAUGCGGAAAUGUGCGGAAAACGGUAAAUUGUGCGAUCCCGCACCCAUCGCACCUAAUAUGUGCAUCUG